rnacentral:lncRNA from 1 species
GGUUGAUGGAAAGGUGUUUCUUUGCAAUUUUAUAAGGGAAGUCCGAGUACAUUUUUACAAUUUAUAUAUUUAUUCUCUGCGCGAUUGAAUACUGCUAACACCCAACGUCAGAUUUACCUGAACCCAACAACUUUUUUGAUAACGAAGCUGCUGUCUAGAAUUUUGCCAGAUCACCCUUAUAAGAAUCACUAUUAAAGGUUGUUUUCUCCAAUAUUGCCGCCAACAGGACUCUUCAUCAACUAUAAAGAAGCCCUAGACUUCCUUCAAAAAUAAGAUAUGGUAUGAUUGCCAAUGAGACAAGUCUCCCAAAGAGAUCAAAUGACCAAAACAUUUACCACUAUAGGUCACCAUACGACAUUCAACAAUGAGCAAAGACCAUUCCGCAUAGCUAUAAAAGGCCCAACGUGACAAAUAUAAAACAUCUCAAACGAGAAAACUAACGGCAUAUUUUAUGUACAAAAUAAUGAACAAAAACAAAUAUGUCACUCAGCAACUAAGACAAC